CCCUUAGAUGUCCCAGGCCGCACGCGUGUUACAGUGGGCUGUACAACAGGUGUAUACACACCGGUAUCCCUAUGACCGCGUGUGCCUCCGCUGUCCACCCGAGGCAGCGGGAAGCCAGUGAGGACUGCAGCGGCUAGGACUGCCGAAAAGGUUCGUCCUGUCGGUGCCUAAAUCCCCCGUUCGUUGGAAUUGGCCGCUGGAACUGCGCCCGUGAACGCGGAAUACCUAGUAGGGGUGACUCAACAUACCACCCCGAUUGAGUCCCUGUCUUUUGUACACACCGCCCGUCGCUGCCUCUGACGGAAGGCGGGGUGAAGUCUCGGGAGGGACUGGCUCUUAGGAGUCGGUUCCAAACGUGAAAGAACCCCUCCGUCCUGAGGAAGCAGAAGUCGUAACA
rnacentral:rRNA from 1 species